AAUAUUGUUAACAUACUAAAAUAAUAAUAAGUAAAAAUAAGUCUAUAAUAAAUACCGUAGAUGGGGGUAACUAAAGCCUACUGGGAAACUAAAGCCAUUAUAGCAGGUAAUUUUUGGAUGGUAAUAGUAGCAGCACUGUUUGGAUUCAACAGCUGAUGUUGUGUUCUUCUAAUAGGAACUUGGACUGCUUUCCAAAUACUUGUCUGGAUUAUUAAAACAAUAUCACGGACUAAAAAUGCCUCGAAACCCAAAGAAGAAGCUUGGUAGCCGGAAGUAUAAGGAUUACACAGAUGAAACGGAGAUACCAGUAGAUCUAUAACUUGAAGAAACAACUUAUGACGAACCCCCCAAAAUAGGAGUCUCUAAAGGAGAACUUAAACCUGAUAUUUACGUCAUUGUUGAGAUCAUCUUUGAUAAGAACACAAAAAAAGAAACCACCAAACAGUUCUAUGGAGUCAUUCUUAGAACUUGUUUUGAGAAGAACGAAGUUACAGUAAAGUUUUUCAGAAGAAGCUCCAAAUCAAAAGGAAAUGACUAUAUAUUUCCAAAUGUUGAUGACGAAAUGGACAUUCAGUUAACAGACGUCAUUUCAAUUGUGAAACCAUCCAAAGUAAACAGAGGACGUUAUACUUUUCCUUAUGAACUACCGGUAAAGCACUGAUUUCAACAAGACCUAUUUUAAAUAAUAUUUUUGUCUCUUUUUAAUGUUUUUCUUAAAUAAGCUUUUUUCUUGUCAA